UACGGGUGGGGCAAGCGUUGUUCGGAAUUACUGGGCGUAAAGGGCUCGAAGGCGGCCAACUAAGUCAGACGUGAAAUCCCUCGGCUUAACCGGGGAACUGCGUCUGAUACUGGAUGGCUUGGAUUCGGGAGAGGAAUGCGGAAUUCCAGGUGUAGCGGUGAAAUGCGUAGAUAUCUGGAGGAACACCGGUGGCGAAGGCGGCAUUCUGGACCGACAUUGACGCUGAGGAGCGAAAGCCAGGGGAGCAAACGGG
rnacentral:rRNA from 1 species